UGGGGAAUAUUGGGCAAUGGGCGCAAGCCUGACCCAGCAAUACCGCGUGUGUGAAGAAGGCCCGAGGGUUGUAAAGCACUUUCAGCGGGGAGGAAAAAGGCGGGGCCAACACCCCCGCCCUUGACAUUACCCGCACAAGAAGCACCGGCUAACUCCGUGCCAGCAGCCGCGGUAAUACGGAGGGUGCGAGCGUUAAUCGGAAUUACUGGGCGUAAAGCGUGCGUAGGCGGCGCGUUAAGCCAGGCGUGAAAGCCCCGGGCUCAACCUGGGAACGGCGCUUGGGACUGGCGUGCUCGAGUUUGGGAGAGGGGGGCGGAAUUCCGGGUGUAGCGGUGAAAUGCGUAGAUAUCCGGAGGAACACCAGUGGCGAAGGCGGCCCCCUGGCCCAAAACUGACGCUG
rnacentral:rRNA from 1 species